rnacentral:rRNA from 1 species
AUUGAACGCUGGCGGCAGGCCUAACACAUGCAAGUCGAACGAGUGGCGGACGGGUGAGUAAUGCCUGGGAAACUGCCUGAUGGGGGGGGAUAACUACGGGAAACGGUAGCUAAUACCGCAUACCAUAGGAUGAGCCCAAGUGGGAUUAGGUAGUUGGUGAGGUAAAGGCUCACCAAGCCGACGAUCCCUAGCUGGUCUGAGAGGAUGACCAGCCACACUGGAACUGAGACACGGCCCAGACUCCUACGGGAGGCAGCAGUGGGGAAUAUUGCGCAAUGGGCGCAACCCUGAUGCAGCCAUGCCGCGUGAAUGAAGAAGGCCUUCGGGUUGUAAAGUUCUUUCGGUGGCGAGGCGUUACCUACAGAAGAAGCACCGGCUAACUCCGUGCCAGCAGCCGCGGUAAUAC